rfam:Schistosoma curassoni strain Dakar, Senegal genome assembly, scaffold: SCTD_scaffold0000862
AUCAGCUGACGAGUCCCAAACAGGACGAAACGCGCGUCCUGGAU